rnacentral:rRNA from 1 species
UGGGGAAUUUUGGACAAUGGGCGCAAGCCUGAUCCAGCCAUACCGCGUGAGUGAAGAAGGCCUUCGGGUUGUAAAGCUCUUUCAGACGGAAAGAAACGGUUACGGCUAAUACCCGUGACUAAUGACGGUACCGUAAGAAGAAGCACCGGCUAACUACGUGCCAGCAGCCGCGGUAAUACGUAGGGUGCAAGCGUUAAUCGGAAUUACUGGGCGUAAAGCGUGCGCAGGCGGUUAUGCAAGACAGAUGUGAAAUCCCCGGGCUCAACCUGGGAACUGCAUUUGUGACUGUAUAGCUAGAGUACGGUAGAGGGGGAUGGAAUUCCGCGUGUAGCAGUGAAAUGCGUAGAUAUGCGGAGGAACACCGAUGGCGAAGGCAAUCCCCUGGACCUGUACUGACGCUCAUGCACGAAAGCGUGGGGAGCAAACAGGAUUAGAUACCCAUGUGUCCCUGAGCGGGCUGGCAAGGCGCAU